rnacentral:rRNA from 1 species
AACCUCCGCAAUGUGAGAAAUCGCGACGGGGGGAUCCCAAGUGCCAUUCUUAACGGGAUGGCUUUUCAUUAGUGUAAAGAGCUUUUGGAAUAAGGGCUGGGCAAGACCGGUGCCAGCCGCCGCGGUAACACCGGCAGCUCUAGUGGUAGCAGUUUUUAUUGGGCCUAAAGCGUCCGUAGCCGGUUUAAUAAGUCUCUGGUGAAAUCCUGUAGCUUAACUAUGGGAAUUGCUGGAGAUACUAUUAGACUUGAGACCGGGAGAGGUUAGAGGUACUCCCAGGGUAGAGGUGAAAUUCUGUAAUCCUGGGAGGACCGCCUGUUGCGAAGGCGUCUAACUGGAACGGUUCUGACGGUGAGGGACGAAAGUUAGGGGCGCGAACCGGAUUAGAUACCCGGGUAGUCCUAACCGUAAACGAUGCGGACUUGGUGUUGGGGUGGCUUUGAGCUGCUCCGGUGCCGAAGGGAAGCUGUUAAGUCCGCCGCCUGGGAAGUACGGUCGCAAGACUGAAACUUAAAGGAAUU